CAGCUCGAGUUUUUCUUCAUCAGUGCAUAAAUCUUAAAUCUCCUUUUACUAAAGAUUUCCGUGGAGGAGAACCUUUGUGAGUGACCUGUAUUUUUGGGGGCUCUGCUCACAGCAGAGUU